rnacentral:rRNA from 1 species
CUCCUAAAGACUAAGCCAUGCAUGCCUUCGAAUACGAGGAAGCAAUUCUCUCUGAAUCUGCGAACGGCUCCGCAAACCAGUUGUAAACUAUUGCUAGCACGCUCAUCGUCUUCGGAUGGUGGGCUAUAAGGAUAACCCUGGUAAUUCUGAGGCUAAUACUCGACCGUAAAACUCGCUGGUCUGGGUAACUGGUAAGGCGAGGGACGUGUAAUUGAUCGCAGGAGAUGCCGGGAAAGGAUGCACGUUCUGACCACCAUACAAACAGUAUCCUGGAAGCUCGCAAGGGCCGAAGGGUGUCUGGGUGGCUCUAGCAUUGUGCUUCUGACCUAUCAACUAGAUGGCAGUGUAAGGGACAUGCCAUGGUUACAACGGGUACAGAGGAUAAGGGUUCGAUCCUGGAGAGUGGGCCUGAGAGAUUGCUCAUACUUCUAAGGAAGGCAGCAGGCGCGCAACGUUCCCAUUGGGCAAUGCCCGAGGGCGUUAGGGGACAUAUGAAUGCCUGUCAAUUGAUGGGCAAUUCAAAUGGGGUUGUUCUAAACAGCCUUUCGAGUAACAAUUAGAGGA